rnacentral:lncRNA from 1 species
UCAAGUUUAAAGUGACCAAUUAUCAUCAAGAAGGAAUAACGGGUUUUCAAAAUGUCAUUUUCUAAGAAAUCGGCAAAUUUCAGCUUUGCACGUCAAACUUAGAAAAAUCAGGUCUUGCACUUAGUAGGUCCAAAAUUAGAAAACUUGGUACCAUUGGAAACUACUUCCAGAGUACUAAAAGUUCCUAGAAGACACUUUUCCACGAG